GCUAUUUUGGCAGAGAAGUGCAGUGGAUUUAGAAUCUAUGAAUAUAGGAUAUUCUAUAUAUAGUA
rnacentral:tRNA from 1 species